CCAACUUGGCAUAUAAUGCAAACAAAUCUCUUAAAAUACAGAAGGAUCCAAAUAAAUCAAUGUAAUGUUACUUUCUUCUCCCUUCACGAACUCCUAAACUUCCUGUUCAGGUCCUUCAACACUUAAUUAGUGUAAGCUUGCAUUCCACCAAAAGGUGCCAGGAAAUUCAACAAAAAUCCUAAGCUUAAAAAAGGAGACGCUAAAGCAACUCAAGUAC